UGGGGAAUCUUGGACAAUGGGCGCAAGCCUGAUCCAGCCAUGCCGCGUGGAUGAUGAAGGCCCUAGGGUUGUAAAAUCCUUUCGUCAGGGACGAUAAUGACGGUACCUGAAGAAGAAGCCCCGGCUAACUUCGUGCCAGCAGCCGCGGUAAUACGAAGGGGGCUAGCGUUGUUCGGAAUUACUGGGCGUAAAGCGCAUGUAGGCGGGUCGUUAAGUCGGGGGUGAAAGCCCAGAGCUCAACUCUGGAACUGCCUUCGAUACUGGCGACCUGGACCCAAGGAGAGGCGAGUGGAAUUGCGAGUGUAGAGGUGAAAUUCGUAGAUAUUCGCAGGAACACCAGUGGCGAAGGCGACUCGCUGGACUUGUGGUGACGCUGAGAUGCGAAAGCGUGGGGAGCAAACAGGAUUAGAUACCCAUGUAGUCCCUGAGCGGGCUGGCAAGGCGCAU
rnacentral:rRNA from 1 species